GGCGAGGUAGCGGAAGACGCUGACGAGGUUGUUCUCGGCGGCGAUGUAGAGCACCGUCUCUCCGGCCUCCGUCUGAGCGGCGGCGGCGGCGGCGGCCGCGCCGCGAUCGCUCUCCACCCCUGGCACCAGCCGUCCUCACGGAUCUACCGCGUAUCCCGCGCCACCGGCGGCAAGGACCGCCACAGCAAGGUCUACACCGCCAAGGGGCUCCGCGACCGGCGAGUCCGUCUCUCGGUCUCUACAGCCAUUCAGUUCUACGACCUCCAGGACCGCCUUGGCGUCGACCAGCCCAGUAAGGCAAUUGAGUGGCUUAUCAAGUCAGCAGCCGCCGCCAUUGCCGAGCUUCCCACUCUCGA
rnacentral:misc_RNA from 1 species